rnacentral:tRNA from 1 species
GGCUAGUUUGUCUAGGGGUAUGAUUCUCGCUUAGGGUGCGAGAUGUCUUUCUUAGGGUGCGAGAUGUCCCGGGUUCAAAUCCCGGACGAGCCC